CAGUGACCCGAAAGAGCACACAAGAAAAAGCGCUCGCCCAAUCAAACAACACAAGUCUAUAUUGAGGAGAAGGCUUGACGCGCCGUCGGCACUGACUCUAGCGCCCAUGGAUCCGGCUACCCGCUCAUCUGAGGCAAGCACCAAGGCUUCGUAAUUUAAUUUAGUAUGAUUGAUAACCUUCCACGUGCAGAAGAGCACCUGCUCCUCGUGCGGCUACCCCGCCGCCCGCAUCCGCAAGUAAAGCACAGGAGGAGAAGCUAUUCUUCCUCAGAAUCUGAUAGUGAAUCAGAGAGCAACAGUGAUCGUAAACACACAGGAAGAGGAAGGACCGCAAAAGGCACAGGAAACAUGGCCACUCUGACUUUUGAUGGUGCCAGGAGGCGCAAGCAUAGGUCAAAGAGGAGGUAUUCAGACUCUAGUGAUGAGAGUGACAGCGACAACUACAAUAGUGAAUCUGAAGAAAAUAUACAUUGUAUUGUAUAUGCUACUGAAGUAAAAUAUACAUUUUAUUUGCAAUCAAUAGAUGACUAUGCAGGAUGA